rnacentral:lncRNA from 1 species
ACAAUCAAUAAGACUUCAGCACGCUUACAAAAACUCAAAUCAAAUAAUGGUUAUGCCAAAACACAACAAAAGAUGAAAAUAUGUAGACGUGGAUGAAUUCACUCCUUGAGCUAUAAUCUAUCGUAGGGGAUGAGAAAAGAAAAUCUCAAAUCCUAGAGUGAAUGUCUGCAUCAUGGUCACAGGCAAUGGUACCGAUGGGACUCUAAUUGCAUCAGCUUCCAUCUUGAUUAAUCCGGCAACCCGCACAAGCACCGGCUUCUCCUAAUAGAUGAAACUUCAGGUCCCUCAGUUUAUUUCCAAUUGGCGGAUGGAGGCUGGCGAAACACAGAAGUAAAGUCAACAGGAAAUUCUAAACCUCAUAGGUUUGAAAGCCAAGCUCUUUUAUCCAUCUAUUAUUAAGUUAUCUUUUAAAAUAACUAAAUACUUAGAAGGCAUAGAUACAACUGUGUUCUUCGUCUAGAGAAAUAAUCCUCUCGUAAAGUUGUACCAUGUAACAUAAAUUUUCAGUCACUUGGUUCAGCUACAUAGAAAUGGCGUUCUCAUUGUCGGUGUCUAGUAGAGACAGAAGAAAGCAUUUUCUUAGUUAGACCAGUUUUAACAGAUGGUUCCGCAAGUAGUCUGAUUAGUAAAAAAAACACAUGGCAACAAGCUCCUGUUAGUUCAGUGAUGGGCAAUAAGCACACUAAAGUGAUUUCAAAAAAAUUCAGGAACAGGAAGUAGCAAAAAUAGAAGUUUCCCUUGGUUAACUAUAUAGUGUACUGCAUUAAAAAUUUCCGUCCGAAAGCUUCGGAUGCUUAACUGAACUUUUUAUAUUCUUCAGUUUCAGUUUGGUGGUCAAGCUUAAUUGAUGCUAGGCAUUUGAGAAGCUUAACCCAACUGUAUCACGUUCAAACAAAACCUAGUCCGUUACAUAUCUAUAUGGGGUAUAAGAUAGUAACCGCCAGCAAUGUACGGGUUAAUGAAAUGAGCAAUAAAAGUUAAUGAGCAAAUCAUACCUCACUAAACAACAUUUAAAAUGGUCAUAAUUUGCAAUGCCACCUAUCACUUGAACACAAC